rnacentral:rRNA from 1 species
UACGUAGGGGCAAGCGUUGUCCGGAUUAUUGGGCGUAAAGAGCGUGUAGGCGGCCAAGCAGGUCAGCUGUGAAAACUCGAGGCUCAACCUCGAGACGUCGGUUGAAACCGCUUGGCUAGAGUCCGGAAGAGGAGAGUGGAAUUCCCGGUGUAGCGGUGAAAUGCGCAGAUAUCGGGAAGAACACCCGUGGCGAAGGCGGCUCACUGGCCCGGUACUGACGCUGAGGUGGCGAAAGCGUGGGGAG